CUCAUGGACUGUGGCCUGAAAGGCUCCUUUGUCCAUAGGAUUCUCCAGGAGUGGGUUGCUAUGCCCUCCUCCAGGGGUUCUUUCCAAACCAGGGAUUGAACCUUUGUCUCUGGUGUCUCCUCCUUUACCACUAACGUCACCUGGGAAGCUCUACGGAGGUGCUUUUCCUAAAUGUCCUCAUUUAAUCUUUGCAGUAAUCCUUUUUAUUACCCCUCCAAAUCCCUUAAGAAGGCACUUAAUGGAGUGCUUGCUGGCUUUUGUGGUUCCGGGUUUUAAGUGAAUGCACACACUGAUUAUUCCCCUCUUUUACACACACACAAGACUUCGGUGCGAUUCCCUUCGUUUAAAUGAACUUGCCUUUAAAAACAGCCUUUCAUUUAUUUCUUUGGUCUAUUUCUUUCCAACAAGAGUCACCCUCAGGAUUGGCAGCAGGAACGUAGACAGGACAAGAGGCAGUACGAUUUUCGUUCGAAUUUAGAAGACAGUCAUGGAAUCUUACUUUUCCCUUCUGUCCGGCUCACAAGGUGUCGGGCGGCCAGGGCUGGGUUUGGGCGGGAGAUGACGGGCCAGAGCUCCCGAGACCGACUCCGCGCAGGGCUGGUGGGCGGCAGAGCGGUUGAGUGGGGUCGGGAUUUAGCCCCUCCUGGCAGCCACCCGGCUAGCCCCAGCCCCGCCCGGAGGCGGCCGCGCCAACCGUGAAGGGAGUCGGCGAGAGGCUCCCCGGAUCCCUAGUGCGCCACGGCCGGCGCUCGGCGAGUCCGCAGCCUCUAGGUCGCCGACUAGUUGGGCUGGGCAGCCACUGAUCAUCUUUGCUUUGAACCAGACCCGCCUGCAGCGAGAGCCUGCGAGCAGGCAGCUUUCAGGUCCCUUACACACAGAGGACCUCCUCAAACACUGGAACUGUGGGGACCUCGGCUCCAUCAUCUUCAGCCGUGACAGCUCCCAGAUGAGAGCCCUUGACUCCUGCCCAGCUCAGCACACAUUUAAGUGCAAGAAUAAGGACAUUACCUGCCGACACCGGGACAUCCUGUGUACAAAAGAUUGAGGUCAGGAAGGGCUCUGAAAAUAACCGUGCCGAUGUAUGUGUUGAGUGAGAUGCUGCAGUCAACAAAGACAUUCUUUAGGAAACCGAGGAACAUUGGGAGAAUUCAUUCCAGAUGAAGUCAAAGGAUAAAGCUUCAUGGGACUGGGCAGCAGGCAUCAUGAACCAGCCUGCAGAGAGGGGAAGGGGUCUGAGUCUGACAGCUUCCUGGCUG
rnacentral:lncRNA from 1 species